UCCCUUGACAGGUUUUUGGUAAUCAGGUAGCUCUCCACCUGAACAUUAUUUCACUUCACCCCUCAGGAAUCACUCCGGCCAACUCUCUGCCUGACCUUUCUAGUUGGGAAAUUAACCAUCAACCCCUUUCGCCCCCAAGAUAUCUCACCUAUAUGGAGGUGGAUAACUGCUGAAAAACCAACACGAACAUCACAAGAGAUGAUUAAAGAAUCAUGAGCAAACUAUGCUAGCAACUUCAGUCAACCUAUCACUGGUUAUUGACAACUGCUACAAAAUUCAGAAUUGUACUACAACUCCUGAACUACCCCAUCUGACUAGGCUAAGUGUAGGGCAGCCAAGACCACAAAAGACUUCAACUUAGUUGGGCAGUGAAACAACAGGAUAUGUGCAACAACAGGAAAUGCAACUGGGCCUGCUUCUCACUUGAAUGCCAAUGUAGGAGACAGAAAUGACCCAAUUUUAGAGAGCAUUUAAAAAUCAAACAACGGAACCGAGUUAAGGCAUGAUAGAGCCCAACACGCUCCCUCUGAUUUUAAUGAUAAAUUGGAAUCGAGUAAGUUAGACCAAUGAUUUUCAUUAAAGACCCUUUCCAAAUAAAAGUUCCUAAAUAUACUUAAUUGGCAUUUAGGCAAAAACUAAACACUGGCUUUACUUCUUCCAACACAAAUUGAGUUAUUAAAGUGUCAUACACUGGAGAAUGCUUCCAAUCUGAAAGCUGUUUGCUUUUCAGCACAAUACCACUGAGGCUCCCCAUUGAGUACAAGCACCAUUAGAAAUCAUUAAUUGAUGUCUAGGAAUGUGAGAGCAUCCUUUAAACCCAUGCAAAGCGAUUGCAACUUUUUUUUUUUUUUAAAAAAAAAGGCUGGAUAUUUUAAAAUGAGUAAAUAGAUUUCAAUAACUAAAAAAUUGGGUUAGAAAUUCAUGCUUCUUAAGUAGCUGAAGGCACCCGAAGUCACAGUUAAAAGUUUUUCAGGUAGGACAACUGCAUAAGUACGUAGUCCAGACAAGGAAUACGGUUUGUGUAUUUUUAAAACCAUUCAAUCGUAUUUAUUGAGCACUUACUGAGUGCCGAGCACUGUAGAGCGCUAGGAAAGUACAAGAUAGACAAUCCCCGCCCACAAUGGGAGUACUGGGGCUGCAUAGUGUUUCUCAUGUCUUUAUCCCAUUAAAAAAAUAGAUACGGUUGAUAUUUGAAAACAGUAACUGUUCUUUUGCCUGACAUCCUCUUAGGCUGGGAGUUUUGGAGCAGGAAGACGAGAGAUGUAAUCGUUUAAGGCAGGUGUUGAAGUAGUUUCCUCCCUUUAAAAUAUGACACCUAAAGAGUAACCAAAGGCCAUAACCACAGUAUUUUUAGGAGGUGCAGCGGACUCCAAACAUCUGAUUAUUGGGAGGUAUGUUUUAAGUGCAUAAACAUAGAAACUUAUUCGAUUUCUCACUGGCCCUCUGCCACUUGGGACACAGCCCAGGAUACUUGGGACAGCCAGAAUGAAUGAAUAAUGAUGAGGUUUAAAUUUCUAAACUAUUUAUAAUCCUCGGUUUAGAGGGAUUACUCGCCUGUGACUCGCCACAGUCUCAGAUCUGACUCUAUGCCCGGUCUGACAAAAAUUAGGGUGGCCCGGUCACGCACAGAGAUCGGGCAGAUGGAAGUCAAAUGACACAAAAACUGGAUUUUUCUUUUUUUUAAAAAAAGCUGGCAGAAGGCACCCUCCCAGCCGUCGUUUCGGGCAGUUCCUCCCUCCGUGGGUCUUGCCAAGUUCCAGAUCUCUCUCUCCCAAGCAGGCCCACAAUGGAGAGGCACCUGGGGUCACACGCACCAAUCUGGGGCCCGUCGGCCAACUUUAGGGAGUGAAGUGACCUUUCUCGGCUCUCCACCCGAGUUCCGGGGAAGUUGCAGACGGACGACCACACCUCACGUCUGAAAUCCAUUGGCCACCCCCGCGGGCUCCGACAAGCCGUCCCACCACUCCUCCCGCAGCGUGCCGCAGUGGCACCUCCCUCCCCUCGACUCCCCGCCCGCUCCGCAACGAGCUCGGCCAGGGCAAGUAAGUGUCCCCCUCCUCCAGGCUGACCCUUUGGGGGGUUUGGGUUCAAGGAGGGGUCGGCUCCAGCCGCCCAGAUCCUCGGUCGGUGCUCAGAGUGUGGGUGCCUGCGAGGAGGAUGCAGCCGCAGGUUUGGGGUCUCGGCCGGGCGGCAGCUUCGGUGAAGAUGAUUGUAAGAAACGGAGCGGACUUCCUAGCCCGCCGGGGCUAGGAGCGCCUCGGGGCAAAGAGCGGCCUUUUUUGGGCAUCGCCCAUAAUGUUCCGCUACCCUAAUUCGAUCCAGCCAGUUCCCCUGAGAGUGACAGGGUGGAGGAGGGUUGCAGCUUCACUUUCUCUUCACGUCUGGCUCCAGCUGACGACCGGAAAACACGGCUUAACACGGGGCUGACUCAGGCAACCGAAGAGUGGGUUCUCGGAAACGGUUUUGCAGCCCCAAUGUGCUUGCUGAUUUUGAGCUUUUGCUCUGCUAUUCCUGAAAGAGAAGGUGCAUGUUUAGGUACAUUCAUUCAGUAGUAUUUACUGAGCGCUUACUCUGUGCAGAGCACUGGACUAAGCGCUUGGAAUCUACAAUUCGGCAACAGAUACAGUCCCUGCCCAGUGACGGGCUUACAGGACAUCAAUCACCCUUAGGUGAAAUGAGAGGGGGAAUACGAUUGGAUGCCCUUUUCUGCGUACAGAGGAUUGAGAUCCUUGUUUUCAAAAUGUUUUCGGGGAAAUGAUGUGGAAAAAGCUACGAUAUUUAGAAAGCUGGUUUGGGCCAGCCAUUCGAGAAUGCCCCUCUAUACUUACCAGAAGAACCCAGCAAAAGGAGAAGCUGACUCCCGAAAGCCAUAAAGGAAUGAUCGAGGAAGGAAGUGAUUCUGUUUGUGCAGAAACCCAUUAAGUACUGGAAGGCAUUAAUAUAAUUUACAGGGGUAUCCAGGCUCUAUCUGUAAAUAGUGUCUGUAUAAGGUAAAAACUGCUUUUAACUAAAGCAGAUGUUUAUUCAGGAGACCUACUCAAAUGAGAACCACAUUUAAUUAGGAACCUCACUGGUGAAUAAAGGCCCACCGGUAUUUAAAAGGCAGUUUCAUUUCGUCUAUUUACAUUAGCAGUGUCAUUAUGGUAAUGAUGUCAAGUGCAAAGACACAGAUAUUCAUUUUCACGGAAAUCUUCAAAUCCUUUUUGUAAUGAGGUAUUUGCUUUUCACGAGGAUUCCAUUUCCAGUCAACCAGCUCUCUC